rnacentral:ncRNA from 1 species
AGAACUGGCAGUCCGAUGGGUGGAAUGAUGGGGUGACGCCCUGAAACGCCCACACUGAUACUCCGAUUGGCCGGGCGGCGCCGCAACCGUCCCCCGGUCAAAAGCUCGGUGAAGUCGGCAGAGAGUGGCCGCAGGCGGGACCUCCCGCGCGAAACCUGCCCGGAGGCGGGCAGCGCCACCUAUAUGCCGGGUGUC